rnacentral:rRNA from 1 species
GUCUUUUUGAAAAUAAUUUAAAGUYGAAUYUGCUCCAUGAUAAAUUAUUAAAUAGCUGCAGUAUACUGACUGUGCAAAGGUAGCAAAAUCAAUAGUUUUUUAAUUAAAAGCUGGUAUGAAUGAUUUAAUAAGGUAAAUAUUGUCUCAAUUUUAAUAAAAUUAAAAUUUUUUUUUUAGUAAAAAUACUAAAUUGAAUUUAAAAGACGAGAAGACCCUAUAGAUUUUUAUAAUUUUUAAUAAAAAAUAUAUUUAAAUAAAUAAAUAAAUUUUAAUUAAAAAUUAUUUGGUUGGGGAAAUUAUUAAAUUAAAAUAAUUUUAAUAAAUUUAAAACAAAAAUUAUUGGAUAAAUGAUCUUAAAUAAAAAUUAUAAGAAUAAAAUACCUUAGGGAUAACAGCGUAAUUUUUUUGGAGAGAUCUAAUUGAUAAAAAAGUUUGCGACCUCGAUGUUGAAUUAAGAUAAAAUUUUAAUGUAGAAGUUAAAAAAUUUUGGUCUGUUCGACCAUUAAAAUCUUAC